rnacentral:rRNA from 1 species
UGAGGAACAUGACCUUCGGCGGGGGAUAGCCGGCCCAACGGCCGGGUAAUACCGCGUACGACCACUUUGGGACAUCCCUCGGUGGUGAAAGCAGCAAUGCGCCGAUGGAGUGCCUCGCGGCCUAUUAGCUAGUUGGUGGGGUAACGGCUCACCAAGGCGACGACGGGUAGCUGGUCUGAGAGGAUGGCCAGCCACAUUGGGACUGAGAUACGGUCCAGACUCCUACGGGNGCAG